UACGUAGGGCGCGAGCGUUGUCCGGAAUUAUUGGGCGUAAAGAGCUCGUAGGCGGCUGGUCGCGUCUGUCGUGAAAUCCUCUGGCUUAACUGGGGGCUUGCGGUGGGUACGGGCCGGCUUGAGUGCGGUAGGGGAGACUGGAACUCCUGGUGUAGCGGUGGAAUGCGCAGAUAUCAGGAAGAACACCGGUGGCGAAGGCGGGUCUCUGGGCCGUUACUGACGCUGAGGAGCGAAAGCGUGGGGAGCGAACAGGAUUAGAUACCCUGGUAGUCCACGCCGUAAACGUUGGGCACUAGGUGUGGGGGGCCUUUUCCGGGUUUUCCGCGCCGUAGCUAACGCAUUAAGUGCCCCGCCUGGGGAGUACGGCCGCAAGGCUAAAACUCAAAGGAAUUGACGGGGGCCCGCACAAGCGGCGGAGCAUGCGGAUUAAUUCGAUGCAACGCGAAGAACCUUACCAAGGCUUGACAUGUGCCGGUCGGCUCCGGAGACGGGGUUUCCUCCUUGUGGGGCCGGUUCACAGGUGGUGCAUGGUUGUCGUCAGCUCGUGUCGUGAGAUGUUGGGUUAAGUCCCGCAACGAGCGCAACCCUUGUCCCGUGUUGCCAGCACGUUGUGGUGGGGACUCGCGGGAGACUGCCGGGGUCAACUCGGAGGAAGGUGGGGAUGACGUCAAAUCAUCAUGCCCCUUAUGUCUUGGGCUUCACGCAUGCUACAAUGGCCGGUACAGAGGGCUGCGAUACCGUGAGGUGGAGCGAAUCCCUUAAAGCCGGUCUCAGUUCGGAUCGGUGUCUGCAACUCGACACCGUGAAGUUGGAGUCGCUAGUAAUCGCAGAUCAGCAACGCUGCGGUGAAUACGUUCUCGGGCCUUGUACACACCGCCCGUCACGUCAUGAAAGUCGGCAACACCCGAAGCCCGUGGCCCUACGGGGAGCGGUCGAAGGUGGGGCUGGUGAUUGGGACGAAGUCGU
rnacentral:rRNA from 1 species